rnacentral:rRNA from 1 species
CCUACGGGAGGCAGCAGUGAGGAAUAUUGGUCAAUGGCCGGAAGGCUGAACCAGCCAAGCCGCGUGAAGGACGAAGGUGCCAAGCAUUGUAAACUUCUUUUGUCAAGGGACAAAAUCAGGCUCGAGAGCCUGACCGAGGGUACUUGAAGAAAAAGCAUCGGCUAACUCCGUGACAGCAGCCGAGGUAAUACGGAGGAUGCGAGCGUUAUCCGGAUUUAUUGGGUUUAAAGGGUGCGUAGGCUGGCUGUUAAGUCAGCGCUAAAAGCCCGGGGCUCAACCCCGGCGAGCCGUGGAUACUGGCUGACUAGAGAUGGCGAGAGGUAUGCGGAAUGCGAAGUGAAGCGGUGAAAUGCGUAGAUAUAGCGCAGAACUCCGAAUGCGAAGGCAGCAUACCGGCGGCGUUCUGACGCUGAGGGACGAAAGCGUGGGUAGCGAACAGGAUUAGAUACCCCUGUAGUC